rnacentral:rRNA from 1 species
ACGAACGCUGGCGGCGUGCUUAACACAUGCAAGUCGAGCGGUAAGGCCCUUUCGGGGGUACGACGAGCGGCGAACGGGUGAGUAACACGUGGGUGACCUGCCCUCAGCUCUGGGAUAAGCCUGGGAAACCGGGUCUAAUACUGGAUAUGACUCCAUGACGCAUGUUGUGGGGUGGAAAGCCUUGUGCGGCUGAGGAUGGGCCCGCGGCCUAUCAGCUUGUUGGUGGGGUGANGGCCUACCAAGGCGACGACGGGUAGCCGGCCUGAGAGGGCGACCGGCCACACUGGGACUGAGACACGGCCCAGACUCCUACGGGAGGCAGCAGUGGGGAAUAUUGGACAAUGGGGGCGAACCCUGAUCCAGCAAUGCCGCGUGAGUGAUGAAGGCCUCGGUUGUAAG